rnacentral:lncRNA from 1 species
UUUUAGAUGUUAGUUUUCUGAACUAUAAUUUGUUGCAGACUGCUUAUUUGUGUAAAACAAACCAGAAUCACUUCUAGAAUACCAUACCAAUUGUUUUACUCUAUAAAAGGGAAGGGCUUCUGGUUAGGGGACAUAAUGUGUGUGUUUGUGUUAGUUAAGGAGGCACAUUUUAGUUGAUUUUCUUGCUAAUUUUUGAUUUCAGAUUACUAUAUAUGGUGUUUAGAAUCAAAUGAACAUACAGAAUCUAAACCUUCAAACUCAAUCUAAAAUUCUCAAGGUUCUGUGUAUACUAAAGAAAGAGGGCUAUCUACUAGGAUGACCAAGGUUCAUCAAUAAAUUUGCAGUUUCAUUGUUGUUUAAUAGAUGUGUUAUAUCAUUGCCAAAUUUGAACAAAUAAAGGUAUUCAAGAAAUUAGAACAACAAGAUAUCAUCAUCAAUGUACCUGUGAAUUUUAUUUAAUUUGGUUGCUUUGCAUAUCCUUGCAGGUACAACGAGAUAUUUGACGACAUCAUUUUGGCUAACGAUGUCGACUCACUUCUCAGGUUAGUUAGUUAAUUAAUCAAUAGGGUUUGUGUUGGUUUUUUUUUUAGAGCAAAAGGUAGUGAAACUUAUGCAUCAUACUAUUCUUGAACUCUUGUUGUAUCCUUUUUCACCUAUACUCCUGGUUUUGCACCUACAGUUUCGUUAUGGCAAGUGACAAGAUCAUGGAAUGAAAGAUUGUUCUAGAGUACUUUGGGAGAGUUACUGAUAGAAAGACAAGUGAUCAAUCGGGGAUUGUUUUUGAAACUCAGGUUCCUCUUUCGCUUCCUCUUUUAAUUCUUUUUCAUCAAGUUCUAUUGUUUUGUGACUUAGCAUUAUGUGA